AGCUCCAAUGGCGUAUAUUAAAGUUGUUGCAGUUAAAAAGCUCGUAGUUGGAUUUCUGGCGAGAGGAUCCGGUCCGACCUUUUGGUGGGUUCUUGGGUCUCUUUCGCCAUCCUUGAGUGGUCCGUUCUGGCAUUAGGUUGUCGGAGCGUCAGCCGCUCAUCGUUUACUGUGAGAAAAUUAGAGUGUUCAAAGCAGGCUUAUGCCGUUGAAUAUAUUAGCAUGGAAUAAUAAGAUAGGACCUCGGUACUAUUUUGUUGGUUUGCGCACCAAGGUAAUGAUGAACAGGGACAGUUGGGGGUAUUUGUAUUUCGUUGUCAGAGGUGAAAUUCUUAGAUUUACGAAAGACAAACUACUGCGAAAGCAUUUACCAAGGAUGUUUUCA
rnacentral:rRNA from 1 species